GAGAGAGAGAGAGAGAGUUUUUCAGUACAUACCUUAGAUGUUGCUCUGUUAAUUGUUGCUGGGAGUCAGUCCACACAGUUCAGAGUGUGUGUGUGCGCGUGUGUGGGUGUGCAUUCGAGAGCACUAGGAGGUGUUUGUGUGUGUGUGAAGAUACAGCUUGGGCAGAUGUGCGUGCCUCGAGCAUGCAGGGUGUGUACGACAGUAUCAGCAGGUGCAGGGUAGGAAGCGCCUGUGCACUGCCGUGGUGGAGGGCACACAGUUCUGGGGGGCCACUUGCCCCACCCCCAGACCUCUCUCUUCUUCAGGUCAGGAGGGGCGCUGCCAGUGGCUGGCGUUGCCAGGAGGAGCCCCGGGGCGGCUGGGGCUGUGAGGACGGAGCGCCAGGCAGCGGGGUGGGGGUGGGGGGCAGCAGGGGCAGGAGGAGGCGGACUGGCUGCGGGUGGGGUAGGCGGGCGGGCAGAAGGAGGCCUUUAAAGCACCUGCCCCGCCCACAGGUGAGCAGUGCUGCGUGAGAGCCAGCUCCGUCUCCCCGCCUUCCCACUCAGUGGCAGUUCCCCGGAGCUGCAGUCCCCUCUGGAGCCUCAGCAGAUCCCUCUUUCAGAACUCACUACCAAGAACCCUGAACAGGUGAUGGCAUAGGAUAGAGACUAUCCCGUGAAGUGAAAUCAAUGUGGAAACAGGUUUGGGGAGCUGGAAGGGCCAUGGGGAGGGUCUUGGAAGAGUCUAGGAUUGGUUUCUGGGGGAGUGGAAAGCCCAGGAUACACAGGUGCCAGGGAAGGCAUGGAGUGCCCCUGUAGAGUGGGAAUCAGGCUUGGGGUGCCAGUGGAGGAACCUGGGAUGUUAGGAUUUCAGAGUGCCAGGUGUUGGUAGAGGGCCUGGGCAGUACAGAGGGAUAGGAGCAUCAGGAUGGGAAUUGGGAAAAGUCCUGAGGUGUCAGAGUCCAGAUGCAGGAGAAGCUUGGUGAUUAUAUGAGUCCAGGAUGCUGGAGUCUGGUAUGUCAGCCCGGGUUGGGGGUGGGGGCAGGGAACAAGGUCCUAACACACACAUCUGCCUCCCAGGAGCCACCAUGCAGUGCUUCAGCUUCAUUAAGACCAUGAUGAUCCUCUUCAAUAUGCUCAUCUUUCUGUGUGGCGUGGCCCUGUUGGCAGUGGGCAUCUGGGUGUCAGUCGAUGGACCAUCCUUCAUGAAGAUCUUCGGGCCAUUAUCAUCCAGUGCCAUGCAGUUUGUCAACGUGGGCUACUUCCUCAUCGCAGCUGGCGCUGUGCUCUUCGCUCUUGGUUUCCUGGGCUGCUAUGGUGCCCAGACUGAGAACAAGUGUGCCCUCAUGAUGUUCUUCUUCAUCCUCCUCGUCAUCUUCAUUGCUGAGGUUGCAGCUGCUGUGGUUGCCUUGGUGUACACCACAAUGGCUGAGAACUUCCUGGCGUUGAUGGUAGUGCCCACCAUCAAGAAAGCGUACGGUUCCCAAAAAGACUUCACCCAAGUGUGGAACUCCACCAUGGAAGGGCUCAAGUGCUGUGGCUUCAACAACUACACAGAUUUUGAGGACUCUCCCUAUGUAAGGGAGAACAACGUCUUUCCCCAAUACUGUUGCUUUGACCCUGACAAUGACACAUUCGAGGAACCCUGCACUAGAGUCAAGGCCCAGCACUGGGAAGUAGAGGUAUAGGUUGGCCUGGGAGGUUGGGCUGCUUUAAUGGCCUCGGAGUGCUGAACGUGAGUGGGGGCAGCUGCUGACUAUAGAUGCUCUCUCCCCUCCAAGGGUUGCUUCAAUCAGCUUCUGUAUGACAUCCAAACCAAUGCAGUUACCGUGGGUGGUGUGGCAGCUGGAAUUGGGGGCUUGGAGCUGGCUGCCAUGAUUGUGUCCAUGUAUCUGUACUGCAAUAUGAAAUAAGUCGGCUUCUGCCUCCGCCUCUGCUGCUGCCAUAUAGGAACCGGGAAGAGGCAGUGAUCAGCGUGGGGACAGGAUCUAACAGUGUCACUUGGGCCGGAGUGGGCCUGGGGCCAAAUAGGCACCACCCCCUUCAACCUGUGCCAGACUUGUCCUUCCAUUGGUGGGGUUGGGGUCCACCUAUUUCAGAGCCUCUAAGGUAGCCAAUCCUCUUGCCCAUUCCUCCAGUCUGUUUCUUAAACCCUUGAUACCCUCUCAAGCCAGGGGGUGGGGUGCUCUUGAUGAUCCCAGUACUCCACACGGGGGAUUAAAGGCACCGCACCUAUAGCAUGAGCAUAUGCAAAAUCAGCAGUUACCAGGCAGAUGUGUAGAAAGCACUUCAGAACUCAAAAACCCAUUAAAAUGUUUCCAUUUGGACUCUUUUUGUGUAUCCUUCAGGAGAGGAACCCAUCAUGCCUCAACUGGCCUCAAACUCCUGUGGGACUAUUGACUCAGAAGGCUCCUAGAAAUGUAGCAGAAUGGAAGUAGCACGGAGGUGGGGGGCUAUUUCUCACCUUCAUUUGGAUGCCAGGCCUGGGAGGGAGCCUAACAAGGAUGGCCAAGGGGACACUGAGGGAGAAAGCAGGGGCCAGACCAGUCUGCAGUCCUAUAAUGUGGGAGGACUUUGGCCUGAAACUGCCCUCUCCUGGGUAGGAGCACUAGGCUGGAAGGCUAUGAAAAUAAAA